UUAACUCAGCCAACUGUUGGAUAUGUUGGUUCAAGCUUGUAGUCGUGCCUGGUAGGUAAAUCCGCCGGGCUCGGAUGAGGAGUGAUAACGAGGCUGCUUGCAGCCGAAGUGAGUGAUACCCUGCUUCCAGGAAAAGCCACUAAGCUUCAGCUACACACGACCGUACCGCAAACCGACACUGGUGCGCGAGAUGAGUAUUCUAAGGCGCUUGAGAGAACUCAGGGGAAGGAACUCGGCAAAUUGACACCGUAACUUCGGAAGAAGGUGUGCCUUUAGUAGGUGAAGGGAUUUACUCCUGGAGCCCAAUGAGGUUGCAAAAAAUCGGUGGCUGCGACUGUUUAUUAAAAACACAGCACUCUGCAAACACGAAAGUGGACGUAUAGGGUGUGACGCCUGCCCGGUGCUGGAAGAUUAAAUGAUGGGGUGCAAGCUCUUGAUUGAAGUCCCAGUAAACGGCGGCCGUAACUAUAACGUCCUAAGGUAGCGAAAUUCCUUGUCGGGUAAGUUCCGACCUGCACGAAUGGCGUAACGAUGGCCACACUGUCUCCUCCUGAGACUCAGCGAAGUUGAAAUGUUUGUGAUGAUGCAAUCUCCCCGCGGAAAGACGGAAAGACCCCAUGAACCUUUACUGUAGCUUUGUAUUGGACUUUGAACAGAUCUGUGUAGGAUAGGUGGGAGGCUUUGAAGUAGGGUCGCUAGAUCUUAUGGAGCCAACGUUGAAAUACCACCCUGGUGUGUUUGAGGUUCUAACCUAGGUCCAUUAUCUGGAUCGGGGACAGUGCAUGGUAGGCAGUUUGACUGGGGCGGUCUCCUCCCAAAGCGUAACGGAGGAGUUCGAAGGUACGCUAGUUACGGUCGGACAUCGUGACGAUAGUGCAAUGGCAUAAGCGUGCUUAACUGCGAGACUGACAAGUCGAGCAGAUGCGAAAGCAGGACAUAGUGAUCCGGUGGUUCUGUAUGGAAGGGCCAUCGCUCAACGGAUAAAAGGUACUCUGGGGAUAACAGGCUGAUACCGCCCAAGAGUUCAUAUCGACGGCGGUGUUUGGCACCUCGAUGUCGGCUCAUCUCAUCCUGGGGCUGUAGCCGGUCCCAAGGGCAUGGCUGUUCGCCAUUUAAAGAGGUACGUGAGCUGGGUUUAAAACGUCGUGAGACAGUUUUGUCCCUAUCUUCCGUGGGCGCUGCAGAUUUGAGGAAGCCUGCUCCUAGUACGAGAGGACCGGAGUGGACACACCUCUGGUGUAUCGGUUGUCACUCCAGUGGCAUUGCCGAGUAGCUAAGUGUGGAAGAGAUAACCGCUGAAAGCAUCUAAGCGGGAAACUCGUUUCAAGAUGAGAUCUGCCGGGGCCUUGAGCCCCCUAAAGAGUCGUUCAAGACCAGGACGUUGAUAGGUCAGGUGUGGAAGCGCAGUAAUGCGUUAAGCUA
rnacentral:rRNA from 1 species